CUGUAGUGACGGUGACCAUGGUCCCUUGGCCCCAGUAGUCAAAUGGGUCCAGAGGACAGGGAGGGCUUCUCGCACAGUAAUACCGGGCGGUGUCCUCGGAUUUCAGGCCGGUCAUCUGCAGAUACAGCAGGUUGUUGGGGUUGUC